AAGCGAAAGAAAACUAGGCGGCCGGGAGCCCCGGCGGAGAUCACAAUGUCGGCGGAGGGAGAGAGGGCCGCCCAGACUGCACACACACACCCCCGACGGCGCCCCCCCCCCAGCACACUCUGGGCGCGGGAGGUGGAGGAAUACCAAAGGAGACCACCUGGGACCGCAACAAAAUGGGACUAGACAGACUUCAGGAACCCACACCAGUGAGUGCAAACACAGUGUGGCUUGUGGACAGCGAGGAGCCUAGGGAGAGAUUAAGUGGCUGGUAACAGUCCGGCAGUUUACCAGUUGAGAUGCCACCUCCAGUCUGUUUCACCAACAACAGCAACAACAAUCCACCAGGUUCCAGAUGCUACCAUGAUGCCAACUGCACUUCCCUGGGCAGAGGACCCCACCAGUGUGUCCUGGAGCCUCCAUUCCCCAGAACCCCGCCCCACUAGGUAAAGAGAGAAAGACAGGCUAGGAGUAUGGAUCGACCUGUCAACGCCCAUGCUCAGCAGGGAAGCAAUUACAGAAGCCAGACCUUCUACCUUCUGUGCCCAUAAUGACCGUGGGUCCAUACUCCCAGAGGGUUAAAGAAUAGGAAAGCUAUCAGGGGAGGGGAUGGGAUAUGGAGUUCCAGUGGCGGGAAUUGUGUGGAGUUGUACUCCUCUUACUUAUUCUGUGGUCUUGUCAAUACUUUCAUGUUAUAAAUAAUUUUUUUAAAAAAGAUAAUAAAGGUAUAAUUCCACAACACUCCCACCACCAAAGUUCUGGGCAACCAUCAUAGUUAUCUGAAGAUCAUGAUUAUGGGCUGACUAUAUACACGUAUUUUUCAAGUU